GAUGCUAAUACCGGAUAACAACACUAGACGCAUGUCUAGAGUUUGAAAGAUGGUUCUGCUAUCACUCUUGGAUGGACCUGCGGUGCAUUAGCUAGUUGGUAAGGUAACGGCUUACCAAGGCAAUGAUGCAUAGCCGAGUUGAGAGACUGAUCGGCCACAUUGGGACUGAGACACGGCCCAAACUCCUACGGGAGGCAGCAGUAGGGAAUCCUCCACAAUGGACGAAAGUCUGAUGGAGCAACGCCGCGUGAGUGAAGAAGGGUUUCGGCUCGUAAAGCUCUGUUGGUAGUGAAGAAAGAUAGAGGUAGUAACUGGCCUUUAUUUGACGGUAAUUACUUAGAAAGUCACGGCUAACUACGUGCCAGCAGCCGCGGUGAUACGUAGGUGGCAAGCGUUGUCCGGAUUUAUUGGGCGUAAAGCGAGUGCAGGCGGUUCAAUAAGUCUGAUGUGAAAGCCUUCGGCUCAACCGGAGAAUUGCAUCAGAAACUGUUGAACUUGAGUGCAGAAGAGGAGAGUGGAACUCCAUGUGUAGCGGUGGAAUGCGUAGAUAUAUGGAAGAACACCAGUGGCGAAGGCGGCUCUCUGGUCUGCAACUGACGCUGAGGCUCGAAAGCAUGGGUAGCGAACAGGAUUAGAUACCCUGGUAGUCCAUGCCGUAAACGA
rnacentral:rRNA from 1 species